AGAGUUUGAUCAUGGCUCAGGAUGAACGCUGGCGGCGUGCUUAACACAUGCAAGUCGAACGAAGCGCUUAAGAUUGAUUCUUCGGAUGAAGUCUUUUGUGACUGAGUGGCGGACGGGUGAGUAACGCGUGGGUAACCUGCCUCAUACAGGGGGAUAACAGUUAGAAAUGACUGCUAAUACCGCAUAAGCGCACAGGACCGCAUGGUCUGGUGUGAAAAACUCCGGUGGUAUGAGAUGGACCCG
rnacentral:rRNA from 1 species